rnacentral:lncRNA from 1 species
UUCUAUUUAAGUAGCAUUUAGUUAUUAAAAAAGAAUAUUUGUUAUUUAAAUUAUGUAUAAUGAUCGAAUGUGCUUGUUCUAACAACAACAAUAACUUAAUGAUUCUUAUAACAAUUAAUAAGCUUUCGCUGGCCGCUCGCUUAUUAUAGCGACUGCAAAAAAUGUUACUUUAACACAAAGAGAUGUUGAAUUAGUUAGUAGGACGUGACCCCAUCGCCCUAGCUUCGCCACAGACGCGUGAGCUUCCAUUCAAUGUUUCAUUCUAUGAAAAAAGGCCGCGCCUUUCACCGGCUAUUUUCAGGCGUUUUUAACGCCAGCACAGACAUUCAGGCUUUAUGACAUAAAAGCCUAAAAGCGGUCAAGGUUGUCUCCAAUGUAGGCUUUCUAUGACGUGAAAAGAUCCACGUGAAAGGCUCAUGCACAAUUAAUACGCGUGUGUUUUCGAUAGACAGAAACUUCAUUCCUUAUGUGAAAUUAUGUGUAACUAUGUAAAAUUCUUCCUGAAUCUGUAAACGAAAAUGUUUCACGUUAACGGCGUUUGUAUUUGGACCACAUUUUCAUGUGUCAAAGCAAAUAGGUAUCGAGUGCAAACGACAUUUGGGUUCGCAACUAGCGACGUUCCAGACGUGUCAGAGGUAAGCGACCGAUUCAAAUGCGAUAACCUCGUUGCGACUUUGCUGGAGUCGGGACUGUCGACCGGGCGCCUGCGGGACCUAACCCUCGGCCUCUGACCUGCCCAAACGAACCCUUAUAUUAUAACGCUUUUUGUGUCAACCGUGUCCCAGAAACACCAAGGGACCGUUAACAAGAAAAAAGACACUAUAAAACAUUUUCUUUGUUGCACAAAUACGAAAUACAAGAAGAAAAUGUUGCAUCUGAGAAUUUCCCAGCAAGCUGCCGUCCUACUUGGAGAAUUUUAUGGAUGUUUUAGGAUUUGUAUUUAAAGAAAGAACCUUUGACGCUGCAUUUUACUCCGCUAGAAACAUUAUAUUUGUACAAUGUUUCUAAACACAAACAUUUACCGGAACAACCAACCAAUCUGUUAAAUGUUGAACGCGUGUUACGUUUCACCCUCUCAUGUACUGACGUUUAAUAUUAUGGCAAACAACAACAAAUGCGUGCAAUUCUUCAAGAGAUGAUUUAAAUAUCCACCCAACAGAAAAGUGAUGUGGGAAAAUUAGGGAAAUGUAUAUUAUGUGUUACGCGGGCGAGAUUGGAUCGUAGAGGACCGUCGACCUGUAAGUACUGCCACCGUUUCAAUAGGAAAAUUAUUAUUAACAUAUUUAGGAGAGGUAAGAAAAUUAUUGCUACGCAAAGUGAAGUUUUAUUUGUUUUAAUUUAACGGUCAACCCUUUUAAUUUUUCGGUGCUUCAUAAAGUUGUUAACAAAACGUAACUUUGUAACAACGAGAAAACUUCUGAACUCCGAGUGUUUUACGAAUAAACUCGAUAUAUAAGCUUGCUAGAAAGGUAGAAAUGUAAUAAGUGUAACACUUUCGGUGUGAUUUACACAUAUUUAUAAGAGCUCGCUCGUGCUCGUCGACAUCAAUAUUUAAAACGUCUGUAACCACAUACUCCCCUGUAAUGUGAAGUUCAACAACCUUGGGGAUUGUUAUUGUAGUACAUAUGCGUAUAGUAUAAAUAGCAGUCGCGUAAACAUUUCCCUAGUACGCGCACGCACCCUCCCUGGGGGUGAAAAUAGUCAUAAAACAGAGACAACUUUUUCCCGUCGCGUUGUCGCCGAGACUUUCCAGCGUCGACGAGGUGCGCUAGCCUCAGGCCUUUGAUAACUCAUGAAAAAUCAAGUGCUUCCGACAAUAUCUGAAGUACGUCCUCAACCUCACACCUUCCUGUAUAGCCGAAAUUUGAUCCGGAAUAUUUCCUUCCUUUAGCACGUUCUAGUAAAGACAAUAUCUUUGACAAAAAGCAAAACACAUAAGUAAUUAAAUUAAGACGAUAUCAUUAUUGAAGUUAGGUAACGAAAACUUUAUCGUCUAACAGAAGCGGUUGCUGUAAAGGAGAAAUACAAAAGAGUGCUAAAGUGUUUUACACAGACAAAUGCAAUUGUAUGUUUUAUUCAUUAUAUUCUUUAUUGCUUCGCACUGCAUGCAUCGUAGAUGCACGAAUGAACUGAUUUUCAUGAAUCUCGGCCCUCGGCAGGCAGGCGUCCGAUGCAAAUUGAUGUUUCCAGACACUUUAAUAAUCCUCUUGAAUUUAGUUUAGAGGGUUGGAUAGAGCUGCACUACUGACUACGAGAAAGUGUCGCGUCAGCAAACAAACAGAUACGUGUGUGUGGCAUCUCGCCGCUACGAGCGACUGCUGACGGUACACUUGCUACGCUUCAACAGACACAGUAAGAACAUGUUUGCGAACGGGAAAAAUCGGCAAAUCCCUAGCUGGAACGUUCCAAGGAUCUUUGGAAUGUGAUCCGGGCGUGACCAGCAUACUGUUUAGUCCUCACUGCAAUAAUCAAGACAUCACACAUGGAUAUAUCCAGCCAAUGAACACGAUAUUUGCUGUGUUACGCGAAUUCUUAUGUUUUUACAAAUGUUCAGAAUUUACGUCACGAAUACUUCGUCCGUAGAAUGUCGGUAAUAAUCGCAGGCGAACCUUUUUUUUUUGUAUUAAUAGACUAUGAUACUAAAAUAAUUAUUGUACUACAAUAUUUAUUAUAAUAAAAUAAAUAAAUCUUGUCUUAACGAUCCUACCUCUCAAA